CGUUAAAAUACCGGUUCCCGUAUGAUGACCGAAGUUAAGCAAGGUCGAGCCUGGUCAGUACCUAUAUGGUUGAGCGCUUGGAAAUACCAGGUGAU